rnacentral:pre_miRNA from 1 species
UCAUUGUGGGCUUGAUCCAAAGCCCAGUGAAGUCACUGGAAGUCUUCUCAUAGACUUCAACAGGCUCUGGAUCAGGCCCUAUAUGU